GAUGGACGCUGGCGGCGUGCUUAACACAUGCAAGUCGAACGAUGAAGCUCAGCUUGCUGGGUGGAUUAGUGGCGAACGGGUGAGUAACACGUGAGUAACCUGCCCUUAACUCUGGGAUAAGCCUGGGAAACUAGGUCUAAUACCGGAUAGGAGCGCCUACCGCAUGGUGGGUGUUGGAAAGAUUUAUCGGUUUUGGAUGGACUCGCGGCCUAUCAGCUUGUUGGUGAGGUAAUGGCUCACCAAGGCGACGACGGGUAGCCGGCCUGAGAGGGUGACCGGCCACACUGGGACUGAGACACGGCCCAGACUCCUACGGGAGGCAGCAGUGGGGAAUAUUGCACAAUGGGCGAAAGCCUGAUGCAGCGACGCCGCGUGAGGGAUGACGGCCUUCGGGUUGUAAACCUCUUUCAGUAGGGAAGAAGCGAAAGUGACGGUACCUGCAGAAGAAGCACCGGCUAACUACGUG
rnacentral:rRNA from 1 species